rfam:Arthrobotrys oligospora ATCC 24927 unplaced genomic scaffold scaffold00215, whole genome shotgun sequence.
UCUCGAAUCGUCCAACGGUUUAAGAUACCCGCCUGUCACGCGGGAGACCGGGGUUCGACUCCCCGUUCGAGAG